AGCGAACGCUGGCGGCAGGCCUAACACAUGCAAGUCGAACGGACCCUUCGGGGUUAGUGGCGGACGGGUGAGUAACACGUGGGAACGUGCCUUUAGGUUCGGAAUAGCUCCUGGAAACGGGUGGUAAUGCCGAAUGUGCCCUUAGGGGGAAAGAUUUAUCGCCUUUAGAGCGGCCCGCGUCUGAUUAGCUAGUUGGUGAGGUAAUGGCUCACCAAGGCUACGAUCAGUAGCUGGUCUGAGAGGAUGGCCAGCCACAUUGGGACUGAGACACGGCCCAAACUCCUACGGGAGGCAGCAGUGGGGAAUCUUGCGCAAUGGGCGAAAGCCUGACGCAGCCAUGCCGCGUGAAUGAUGAAGGUCUUAGGAUUGUAAAAUUCUUUCACCGGGGACGAUAAUGACGGUACCCGGAGAAGAAGCCCCGGCUAACUUCGUGCCAGCCGCCGCAGUAAUAC
rnacentral:rRNA from 1 species